AGACCAGCCGCCUCUCCCCCUUCGUGCGACGCCCUCCACUUCUACUUCACUUUCAUUUUCAUUUUCCUCAGCAUCUCUUCAUCUCUCUCUGUGUUCAUUUUCCCUCGCGCCAGCACUCACGCUCUCUGCCCCUCUCUUCCACUCACCCUCCCUCUCACGGCCACAUAAGCCCACAAACCGAAGCCUUUCGUUGACAGCAACUCUUCGGUUUCCUUGUGGCUUUGCUUCAGCAAGCCAGCAGCUGCUUCUCCCAGCUCUGCCACGUUCAGCCAUCAGCGGAGUCACCCGAAGCCCUCUCUCUCCCGCUCAGCCCACGUCCCACCGCACCCACCGAGCUGCCACGCUCGGUCAACCAUCUUCAAGGGAGACCGAGCAAUCCUCCACCGAAGCCAUCCCACGAAUCCUCUCCUCCUCUGCUUCAUUUUACUGCCGUGUGCCAUCAUCCCCCACACCCGUGAGCUUCAAGCAGCCCAUUGAAGACCCGGCGAAGCAGCUCGCCCUCUCUCCAGUUGGUUUCUCUCCUGCCAGCACAUCGGUCAACUCCAGUGCACUUCGCGCCACCGUCAUUGACCCAUUUGCUCGCAGCUCCUCCACCUAAACAGCUUCGGUCUUGCUGCGCCAGCCCACGCUCAAAGCCCAAGCUGCCGCACGUUUUCUUCAGCCCACUCGUUUCAUUUAGCAGCCUGUCUUCAGCGUCCAUAAGCCCAGCGUCUUCAACAUCCAUGAAGCCUGCCUGCUCUCAGCCCAGUUGCUCCUUGUUCGGUCCAGCAGUUCAGCCCAAGAUGGUUUAAUUCAAUUGAAGCCCGUCAAUUCAGCAGCCUAACUUCAGCCCAAGAAUUCAGCCCAGUUCAGUGAAAUCUGAAGCCCAGCGAAUUUCUAAGGCCCAAGCCCAGUGUUUGCAGCAAGCCCAGCCCGACUCAGCAACAAAUCUCAGUUGGACUGAGAUUUGUUGGGCCAAGUUUAGGCCCGGUCCAAGCCCAUGGGUGUCGUUGCGAGCCCAAGUUCGGCCGCCGUCGCGUUGCCGUUGCAGUGAUCUGGUCUCCGCUUUUGAUCAAGUCGAUUGACUAAUGCUUUGAUCGGUAGCAUUUGAUUGGGUGCCAGUUUGAACUGUACUGAUUUGCGAGUGAAAUCUAAGGCUAAGGGAACCUCCGUGUGCCGCUUCGCGGCGGAGAGUAAACCCUGGGGUGAACUGGGCCACCACCACAGACCCAGGCACAGGUGAAUCGCGCGUUUUGCAUUGAAGCAACGCAGACGCAAAGUCUUAAACCCUUCCCCCUGCGGAUGGGUUACCAAGCCUUAACCAUCGCGACCACUGCGGGCGGUGAUAACUUGCUGAGACGUUGUCUCAUUAGUUAUUGAAUAACCAUUUUCAGGUCCUUAGAUGACAUUGGUGAAGGACUGGAGACCUAAAGUGUGGAAGGGGAAACCUGAAAAAUUGACAACCCUAUUGGACUAGCUAGUCAUAGGGCAAUUCUCUUUUGUUAGAAGUCAAUUCCAUUUUGCAAAUUCUGUUUUAGAAAUUUGUGGUUUAAUCCUGGCUUAACAAUUCAACUUGUAUAUAUUUGCACUAUGUUUGGCAGUGUCUAUAAGUGUGGAUGUUUUUAAGUGAGAAUUUGGAAUCCUACUUUUCUGUUA